rnacentral:lncRNA from 1 species
GAUGCUCUUUGUGAUAGUUAAAAAAAAACUUUGAACAGUUUUCUUCUUCCACGCGAUUUUCAGAAAACAGAAAACGAAACCCCACCGCUGCAAGCUUUUCUCCGUCCGGACUCUGCUUCUCCGUCCAUUAUCGUCUCCGUCCGCCUCCCGAAUCGUCAUCGUCGCCGUCAGACCAGUGCUUCUCCGCCACCGCCACAUUGACGCCAGCCCAAAUCGUCUAGGUGCCAGACUUCUCCUCCGCGACUGUGCUCUCUACAACGACCUUCUUCUCCCCCGUGCCAAAUUUAUUUGCGAAGAGAAUCAAAACAGGUAUGGUUGCUAUCCUCAUUUGUAUUCAAUACUUGCUUGAUGUCUGAUUGCUUGUGAUGAAAUGU